GGUACAUCUGUAUCCAGAAUAACAUCUGCUGUCUGUUCUCCAGUGUUCCAGAAGUCCUAGUGGAAUGGGAUCAUAGCCGAAAGGAGAACCUGCCUUGGUUUGGUCAGAAAAGGGUAUCGUGCAUGACAGGUGAAGUCCUGCCAUUUUGGAAGGGAGUAUGUACUGCAUCUUUCUAAGAUCUUCCAUGACCUGCACCACCAAACAUUUUGGACUCCUACAGUCUCUUUGUGAAUCCCUCAUUGAGUCUGGAUGUGUGUGCCACUCGGAGCAAGUCAACAAUAGGAAACUACGAGCUCUAAAACAGAAAGGCUUUGUGAAACACCAUUCAGGACAAACACACAGAGGUGAGAGAAUGGCUUACAGAGGAAGAGGCUGUGAUACCACACCUACUGCAAGGAGGAUGAGGAAUAUUCUAGCCAUGUGCACAGGAAGAAGAGCAACAAGAUAUGGAGAUCAGACAGGCAACCUCUGCUAGAGAAUGUGCCACAUUUUUGUGUCACUUUAAUAACUGCUUCAUCAGUGUUAUCCAAAAUUGUCCAUCUUAUCACUAUUAUAGACAUUCAAAUAUUAAAACUAUGUUAAAAUCAUGUUUUUAUCGGUCUCUGUUAUAAUCUCUGAAAUUUUUGAUUGACAUGAACUGUGCUUAGUAUAUCUUUUUAUUUCAAAUCCAGACCAGUUUUUGGAUUAUUUUAACAAAUGAUGUAUUAAGACAAAAGAAACAGGGGCUGGCCCUGUGGCGCAGCAGUUAAGUUCACACGUUCUGCUUCUAGGUGGCCUGGGGUUCGCUGGUUCGGAUCCCAGGUGCGGACAUGACAAUGCUUGGCAGAUCAUGCUGUGGUAGGUGUCCCACAUAUACAGUAGAGGAAGAUGGGCAUGGAUGUUAGCUCAGGGCCAGGCUUCCUCAGCAAAAAGAGGAGGACCGGCAGUAGUUAGCUCAGGGCUAAUCUUC
rnacentral:lncRNA from 1 species